rnacentral:rRNA from 1 species
AGUGAACGCUGGCGGUAGGCCUAACACAUGCAAGUCGAACGGCAGCACAGUAAGAGCUUGCUCUUACGGGUGGCGAGUGGCGGACGGGUGAGGAAUACAUCGGAAUCUACUUUUUCGUGGGGGAUAACGUAGGGGAACUUACGCUAAUACCGCAUACGACCUACGUGUGAAAGCAGGGGAUCUUCGGACCUUGCGCGAUUGAAUGAGCCGAUGUCGGAUUAGCUAGUUGGCGGGGUAAAGGCCCACCAAGGCGACGAUCCGUAGCUGGUCUGAGAGGAUGAUCAGCCACACUGGAACUGAGACACGGUCCAGACUCCUACGGGAGGCAGCAGUGGGGAAUAUUGGACAAGGGGCGCAAGCCUGUUCCAGCCAUACCGCGUGGGUGAAGAAGGCCUUCGGGUUGUAAAGCCCUUUUGUUGGGAAAGAAAAGCAGCAGGUUAAUACCCCGCUGUUCUGACGGUACCCAAAGAAUAAGCACCGGCUAACUUCGUG